rnacentral:misc_RNA from 1 species
GGCUGCUUUCGUUUCGGAAAGCAAACCAGCCAGUGUAAUCUGUCGUGUUGCGAAGAGCUCGUCCGUUCAUAUUGCUGAAACGACAGAAAACGCCAAUGUUAUUGCAUCAGUGAGUGCGUCGACCGCGCGCAAUAGUGCUGCACUGCCAAACGUGCCGUUUGAGUUUUCUGUGUAAACCCUGCACCAUCGUGCAAAUUGACAUGGAAGUGCAUCGUACCUGUUGAACAAGGAUUGCAAUGUCAAAUAUUUAUGCACCUGAAAAAUCGCCUUCCAAUCGUGGUUUUCGGGUAGAAUGGAACAGCCAAGUACACAGCAGCUUGCAGCUGUUGGAGGAGCUGGAGCAGGUGCAGAAGCAGCAUCGGUCACCGAGAACAGCGACACGGCUUCACUGGCACAGGCACCAGCGGCUUGCCGGACCGAGACGACGACGACCUCAUGUACCAGCCCAAGCAUCGAGCAGCCACCGCAGUCGGUGUAUCACAUCAAGUGGGUCCGGUGGAACAACCAGAAGACACCUAUUGUCACACAGAACGAGAAUGGGCCCUGUCCCCUGAUUGCCAUCAUCAACGUUCUCACGCUGAAGGGUCUCAUCAAGCUCCCCCAGACACUCGACAUUGUGACUGUUGAACAGCUGAUGGAGCACCUGGGGGACUGCAUACUGUCGUCUAUACCGAAGGACAUUCCGGAAAGUGCGCAGCUAAAUUAUGAACAAAACAUGCACGAUGCCAUUGCCAUCCUGCCAAAGCUGCAAACAGGGUUGGAUGUAAACGUUCGAUUUACAGGUGUAAAAGACUUUGAGUACACACCAGAGUGCAUCGUGUUCGACCUGUUGCGAAUUCCUCUCUACCACGGUUGGCUCCUGGACCCUGAGUGCCCGGAAAUCCUUGCAGCUGUUGGCAACUGCAGCUACAACCAGCUGGUGGAAAGGAUAAUCAUCAACAAGUCUUCUACAAAGCCAGAGCUGGUCACUGAAGCGUUGUUAGCUGAAGCAUUCUUGGAGCGAACAGCGUCGCAGCUGACAUACCACGGCCUGUGCGAGUUGAACUCGACGCUUAUAGAAGACGAACUGUGCGUCCUCUUUCGGAAUAACCACUUUAUCACAUUGCACAAGCGAAAGGACCGCCUGUACCAGCUGGUGACGGACCAGGGCUUCCUGAACGAGCCUGACGUAGUCUGGGAAUCGUUGAUCAAUGUCGAGGGCGACGGCCAGUUCGCGGAUUCCGAUUUCGUCGUCAACCCGCCCAAGCCACGAUGCCUCACCACCGAGCAGCAAAUUGAUCGGGACUACCUGGUUGCCUUAAGCUUGCACCACGAGCAAGUGCACCAUGAGCGAACGAAAAACGAUGCUCUGCAGUCCUUCGUCCAGCCAGUCGAGCCGCUCAACCAUGACGCCAUCCGCGCAGAUGAGGAGCUUGCAAAGCAGCUUCAGGAGGAAGAGCACCACAGGGCAUUGUCACGGCCCCCCGCACGGAGCGCAUCAGGAUCAGCGCAGGACGCUGUCGAAUCAACAGUGCGGCAAAGGCAGAAUAACAGCAGCCCACCGUCCAAAAAAGACUGUACAAUCCUGUAGGUGGGACUCCUCAUACCGAUGCAAAUCACGCCAGAAUGCAAACACCCUCUCUCCCUCCUCCCAGUGCUGUUUACUACGCGUUGUACAUAGGACAAGCAGGGACAUUGUCGUCUCUCCCGAAUUGAGAUUACGCUGGGAAACCUGACCAGCACGGUGCACAUGG